AUUGGUUAUGAGGUAAAUUAUAUAAUGAAUGAUAAUCAUUGAAAGCUUUUCCUAUUCUCUCUGGAGAUAGGCAGGUCUUGCCCUUAUAUAAGAUUUUAGAAAAAUUUUUUGUUUAGUUUCUCUUCUGAGUCUGUUAGUUAACAGUUUAUUUGCCCUAUUCCCUGUGUAGUAAAAAGUUGCCUUUAAUCUUUCAAGUGUUUUGCUUACUUUCAUUAUUAGUAGUUCGUUAAUCCUGUCUUGUAGGGUAGAGAUUCUAUUUGACAGCUGCUCAUUUGGGGCUAUUUUG